rnacentral:lncRNA from 1 species
CACGCAGGUCCCAGAUCGCCCACCCACAUACUCCGUCCCAGCUACCCGCCCAGACCCUGCGCAUGCGCGCACCAGGCACCCGGCGUUGCCCCGCCCCCUCACCAACCUGAGAGUCCGCCAGCUCGAGGUCCAGGCAGGGCCUGUCACAGCUUCAGUGCCCACCACCGCUCUGCGGCAAGACGAGCUCGGUUAGGCAAUUCUCUACCACGACUCUGCACACGACAGACUAGGCUUAAGCUAGUUCUAUCCCCUCCCUUAGUCGGCAUCCACAAGGCCGCUCGGCUUAACCGCCAAAGGGCCGAGGUGCACGUAGAUUGCAAGCGUCCGCGCACGGGACAAUGGCUGCACUUCUGCCCGAACCCGGAAGUGCGUUUGGACUCUGCGAGCCGGAACUACAAUUCCCAGAAGCCUCGGCGGUGCGGGCGGCAAUAUUUUGGAUCAAACAUUCGAAAGUUAAGGAGCUCGAUUUUAGGCACGUCACGUUGGACGUUCCCAGGAGAAUCCAACUAGAGAUGUCAAACAGCUAUGUGUCUGGAGUUCAAGGAUGGACAAGUCUGCAUUUGGAUGGUAUGUGAAGCUGUGAGACUAGAUGAAAUCACCGAGGAAGUGGGUGUUGCUGAGGGGCUGGGGAGAAUGGAAAGGGACUCACAGUACACAAUCAGGUAGGUAGGGUCACUGCUCUUCAUCUGGAGGUCACCCCAAGCUUCACAUUGGUACGUCCCAGCAUCCUUCCGCUGGACACUGAGGAUGGUGAGGGUCUUGCCAUCUGUGGACAGCUGUAUGCGCUCAUGGGAUGGCAGGGGCUGGUGGUUGAAGACCCAGUGGAUGGUGAUGUUGGCGUCUGGGGUGUCACAGUAGAAGGUCACAUUUUCCCUGUGCUCUAUGACUGUGCCCUGGCUGACUGAAAUGGUGGGCUUGGCCAGAGAUUCUACAGAGGGAGAAACAGAGUAGGGAGACAGAAGCAGAGACACAGGUGAAAGACACACCUAAAGCUUGCCAGCAAGGGACUUCCCUGGCAGUCCACUGGUCAUGAAUUUGCCUUCCAAUGCAGGGAUGCAGGUUUGAUCCCUGGUCGGGGAACUAAGAUCCCACAUGCCGUGGGGCCACUAUGCCUGUGUUGCAAUUACUGAGCCCAAGUGCUCUAGAGCCUGUGCCCCACAACAAGAGAAGCCCGCCUGUCACCCAGAGCAGUAAAAAGAAAAACAAUACAUAAAAAAAUAAAGCAUGCUGACAAU